rnacentral:lncRNA from 1 species
UUCCUAUAGGUUUUUGCUUUUCAUGAGGAAGGAGGGGAGUGUAUGUAUUAGCAUUCACCUCAAAGGAGUCAUCAGAAAAGUUUUAAACAUUUACGUCAAAGAAUGUGCAUGGAUGUAUGUUCAGCAACAGCAAUGUUAGCAAUGUCAGAAUACAUGGGGAAAAAAUAUAUAUAUAUAAUAAUUAUAUAUAUAUAUAAAUAAUAUAUAUAUAUAAAAAUAAUUUAUAUAUAAUUUUUUUUCCUCCGCAAUGAAAAGCAGCAGGCCAGUGGGAGACCAGUAAAGUUCUGGAAAAUUUUCCAUUUACUUCUUUCAAAAUCAUGGUUGAGAAUUCCUUAGCAUGUGUCCCUGAGCUCUUUCAGACACAGGGAUCUCUGGAUUCAUGACACCCAUUUAUUUUCUUCAGUAGCAGUAUUGUAUAACACUUCUGGGGGAAGAAAAUUAAAAGUAGAAAAUUGUUGUGAUUAUAACGACAAAUUUAAGAGCAGAUUAAAUGGAAGUAUCUAGUAUGUCUCAAGGUGUAAUGGAACUGUGGUAUACUCUGAGGUAAGUGCUCUGUGGCCUCCAGGAUACAUGGGAAUUUUUUGCUGUUUCAAGUGUAGCAGAGCCAUCCCCACAGGACAUACCAGCUCAGGGAGACAAAAGUAGGCAUUUCAGACAAGGCCUCCCACAGCUCUUCUGAAAUUUAGACACUCAUCACUUCCAAAGAGUUGGUGGUCUUCCCUCAACGUAAGCCCUCUCCUCAGGAAGCCCAACUGCAGUGUCAUAGCUAAAUAUUCUCUGGGACCUUCUUCAUCUCUGCCCUACUGUGCUACAGUUUUGUCCACUGCUAUUCACAUCUUGUCCUUCCGUACAAAUCUCCUCACCCUUCUUAAGAGCCUCUCUGUGUUACAGGUUUAUAAAGCCCCUCUGGGCUCUUACUCCCUUUUGCUGGUGUUGAUCCAUCUCUCCUGAUCUGCUGGCCAUACACCCACCACAGGUGCUUCACAGCUCCUUUAUCAACCCUCCUUCUUUUGAAGUCUUCCCCCUAUAAAGCACAGAAGUUAGCAGGUUCACCUGUUUGGUUGUUCACCCUGUUUGGGGGACCCAAACUGAGACAGGGAUACUCAGAAAGCCUGGCAGGAAAACCACUGAGCAGCAAAGGGCAGCAGAAAAGCAUUAUGCAAACCUCCCCAUUUUCUGUGCUGCCCAUAACCUCAACAGAGUAUAAAGGAUCUUCAGCAUGAAGAUGUCAUGUAUGAAGCUGUAUGCAGUCGAGCAUGGACACCAGGGACUGCAGCAAUGAGGCAUUGUUUUCUUGUGAAGAGCAACCCUAGUAAAGUUUGGGGAAGAAAUUUAAAAGUGUUUUCUUCCUGUUUAAUUUAGGAGAAAAAUUGAGAAUUGUUACUUCUCAGGAAAUGCUAGGGGUGACACUAUUUGCUAAUGCUGUGGCAUACAUAAAGCAAAAAUUUACAUCUUUCCCAACAUCUGCCAGAGUACACAAUGAGCGGAGAGAUGAAAUAUACUUAAAUUUAUAAGCAUAGGUACACCUUAAGGAAUAAGAUAUCAAGGUAUAAAUGCUUUCUGUUCCUUAGGAAAAAAUAUUGGUGCAAUCAUAGGCUGUAGGAACUAGCAGUUCUUCUGAAACUUAAAAGAAACUUGCUUUUUGGCUGUAAAAUAUGUAUUAUUCAUUUUGCCCAGGUUAACUUUAUUUUUCUUUUAAAGGAGCUUUGACACUUGAAACUGGCAUUCAUGAAUUUACUGUAAAUCUCUGCAAUAUUAACCAGCUGACAAGCUGGUUGUAGAAACUGAGAAAUAUGACCUGCGGAAUAGCCCAUUUAAACAGAAGCAUGAGGAGUUAGGGUUCAGCCUACUUGCAAGCACUAAAUAAGGUACUCAGACACCUUUGCACUGCCUGUCUACAGACAUUGCUCAGUCCCAGUGUCACAGUAGGUCUUAAGUAGGUAUUAAAAUAUUUUCUAUAUAAAUGCAGUUAUUUCCUCUUUUUUUUUUUUCUAUUUCUUUCCUAAGAAACUAGAUUGAAAAUUAGAAGUAUCAAGUAUAAAUUUCCUGAGGAUAAUCAUUUGAAUACAAAAUUGAAUUAGACCUAGCCAUGUUCUAACCCACUUUGUCUAUCACAUGCCUUUAAGCAAGUAAAUUUUGCUAACAUAAGUGCUCAAGAAAAGUUUCAAAAUUUGCAGUAGAGCCGUUGUAUUUUAAGGCAUUUGAUGUUUUUUAUGCAGAAAG